rnacentral:rRNA from 1 species
GAUGAACGCUGGCGGCGUGCCUAAUACAUGCGAGUCAAGCGAACAGACGAGGAGCUUGCUCCUCUGACGUUACCGGCGGACGGGUGAGUAACACGUGGAUAACCUACCUAUAAGACUGGGAUAACUUCGGGAAACCGGAGCUAAUACCGGAUAAUAUAUUGAACCGCAUGGUUCAAUAGUGAAAGACGGUUUUGCUGUCACUUAUAGAUGGAUCCGCGCCGCAUUAGCUAGUUGGUAAGGUAACGGCUUACCAAGGCAACGAUGCGUAGCCGACCUGAGAGGGUGAUCGGCCACACUGGAACUGAGACACGGUCCAGACUCCUACGGGAGGCAGCAGUAGGGAAUCUUCCGCAAUGGGCGAAAGCCUGACGGAGCAACGCCGCGUGAGUGAUGAAGGUCUUCGGAUCGUAAAACUCUGUUAUUAGGGAAGAACAAAUGUGUAAGUAACUAUGCACGUCUUGACGGUACCUAAUCAGAAAGCCACGGCUAACUACGUG